GAUGAAGAACGUAGCGAAAUGCGAUACUUGGUGUGAAUUGCAGAAUCCCGUGAACCAUCGAGUCUUUGAACGCAAGUUGCGCCCGAAGCCAUCAGGUUGAGGGCACGUCUGCCUGGGCGUCACAUAUCGUUGCCCAAUGCCUAUUGCAGUGCAAUAGGAAUUUCUAGGGCGAAUGAUGGCUUCCCGUGAGCGUUGUUGCCUCGCGGUUGGUUGAAAAUCGAGUCCUUGGUAGGGUGUGCCAUGGUAGAUGGUGGUCGAGUUAGAACGAUACCGAUCAUGUGCAUGCUCCCCAAAAUAUGGCAUCUAUGACCCACACGCGUCUUUUGACGCUCAUGACGAGACCUCAGGUCAGGCGGGGCUACCCGCUGAAUUUAAGCAUAUCAAUAAGCGGAGGA
rnacentral:misc_RNA from 1 species